rnacentral:rRNA from 1 species
UCGCCACGGUAAUACCCCGCUCUCCGAGUGGUGGGGACGUUUAUUGGGCCUAAAAGCAUCCGUAGCCGGCUGGGCAAGUCCCCCGUUAAAUCCAGCGAUUCAAUCGUUGGGACUGCGGGGGAUACUGCUCGGCUAGGGGGGCGGGAGAGGCCGACGGUAUUUCCGGGGUAGGGGUGAAAUCCUAUAAUCCCGGAAAGACCACCAGUGGCGAAGGC